CUCGUAGGUGGUUUGUCGCGUUGUUCGUGAAAACUCACAGCUUAACUGUGGGCGUGCGGGCGAUACGGGCAGACUGGAGUACUGCAGGGGAGACUGGAAUUCCUGGUGUAGCGGUGGAAUGCGCAGAUAUUAGGAGGAACACCAGUGGCGAAGGCGGCCUGCUGGACUGUUACUGACACUGAGGCUCGAAAGCGUGGGAGCAAACA
rnacentral:rRNA from 1 species